GCCGAGGCUGGGGGCGCGGACGUGCUGCUCAAGAUGAUGUCUGUGAGGAGGGCAGGGCCGCGCCCUGUGGUGAGGCAGGCACUGGGCCUGCUGUUCCUCGCCGGGCAGCCCUGCCCUCGCCCCGCCCCUCACCUCGCUCAGUCAGGUGCAGCGUUGGCACGGGGUCCUCGAUGCCGGAGCUGAUGGCUGCCCGCUCGGCCAUGGACUUGAGCGAGCUCAGAGGCUCAGGAGCCUGGGGAGAGGCGAGAGCUGGUGACGACUCGUGCUGACUCUGCAGGACCGAGCCGGCAGCCCCUCGUGCUGGGGAGACAGACUGGAGGGGGGGGACCCACCGACAGGUGCCCAGGGGGUGUGGUCUCUGCUGCGCUGCACUGCACAGCGGCGAAGAUCCGUGCUGACACGGUGACGUCCAUUGGGCACGGGGACACACAGCCACACGCAGUCCUCCGCGUGCACCUACUCCCAGAAAGAUGCUCACACCAUGAACGUCCUGUCCUGAGUACUUCCAAAAUGUGAGUGCCAGCUCUGGCCCACAGCCGUUCCAAGAGCGGCGGGAGGAUACUGAGCCUGUCAGAGCCCACUCAGAGUUGGAGGUUUCUCCAGACGAAGGUGCACAAGACAGUGCGGACUUGGCCCUGGCCCCCUACUCGGUGGAACUGAGAUUAAACCUGCACUGGCCCACAGAGUCAACUCUCCACCCGGUUCCCAUUUCGGGCCCUGGCGCUCAGGAGCCCCUGCACUCCCGAGCCUUGCAGCCAGCCCGCACCCCCUCCCGCAAAGUGGCCUCCCUCCCCCUCUGUGUGGAGCCUCUGCGCUGACCUCCCCGCCUCCUAGGACUCUGGCACAGGAGGACCUCUCGUUCCUCCGAUAUCUUUCCCAGGCUGGGUCCCAACUUAGAGAUCUGUCCCUGGAGACCCUGUGGGGCCAUCCUCCCGGGGCAAGUCAGGCACCUAGGUGGGUCCACAGCACCCUCUGCCCGCCCUCCACAGUCACACGUGCCUCCCAGCACAGAAGGUGGGACCAGGGUGGAUUCACCCAGCAUGAGGCAUGGCCCAGAGUGGACGUCAAUAAAGGAGGCAGAGCGCUGGA